rnacentral:rRNA from 1 species
GACGAACGCUGGCGGCGUGCUUAACACAUGCAAGUCGAACGAUGAAGCCCAGCUUGCUGGGUGGAAGAGUGGCGAACGGGUGAGUAACACGUGAGUAACCUGCCCUGAACUCUGGGAUAAGCACUGGAAACGGUGUCUAAUACUGGAUACGACCUAUCGCCGCAUGGUGUGUGGGUGGAAAGAUUUAUCGGUUCUGGAUGGACUCGCGGCCUAUCAGCUAGAUGGUGAGGUAAUGGCUCACCAUGGCGACGACGGGUAGCCGGCCUGAGAGGGUGACCGGCCACACUGGGACUGAGACACGGCCCAGACUCCUACGGGAGGCAGCAGUGGGGAAUAUUGCACAAUGGGCGCAAGCCUGAUGCAGCAACGCCGCGUGAGGGAUGACGGCCUUCGGGUUGUAAACCUCUUUUAGUAGGGAAGAAGCGAAAGUGACGGUACCUGCAGAAAAAGCACCGGCUAACUACGUG